rnacentral:tRNA from 1 species
AUGUUCAGUUGGUGUAUGUUCAGCUGGUGCUUGAUCAGUUGGUGCUUGAUCAGCUGGUGCUUGAUCAGCUGGUGCUUGUUCAGUUGGUGCAUGC